ensembl:lncRNA
AGCCAGUGGCAGAUUUAUGUUGCGAUAAUGAUAAUAUAGUUUAUAUGGAAGUGAGUAAAACAUGUUUUUCAGCUAUCGUACUCAUCUCAUCACAGCACAAAACGCGAUUGUGAAGCGACAUCCGUCGGAAAUGAAGGAAAAAGUGCAGAUGUGACAGAACACCUAUCUCUGGGUUUGGGGGCUGCCUUAAGUUGUAAACAGCUGCAUGUCAUCCAGCUUAGAGCAAUGAGACGUGACCAAGUCUCCCUCCCUGCUGCACAUCUCCCAGGACCUCUUCAAGGUGAGAUACCAUCAGAGUGAUAACAUCACAUGCGGGCCCCAAACAUCCCUUCGUGAACAAUAUCACUGAUUUUCUUUUUUUUUCUUUUUUAUCUCUCUCAGUUCUCCUGAGUUCCACUGAACGUACGUAAGCUUUUUUUUUUUGUCAAGCGGAGACACUGAGACAAAUUUUCUGUCAAAGCUCUUUUCCUUCAGGGCCCUUUCGUGAACAGUUUGAUGUCUGCAUCAACUGGCUGACGAUUCUCAUCUGUGAGGUGCCUGUGAGUGCACAGUAAACAUAAGCCCGUGCAUUUCCACAGUAGUUGUUGAGCUCAUCAAAUUUCACAGGACAGGCUUUCUUUGACAGGUGUCCUUAAUGUUUGAGUAUCCGUGCGCGGGAACGCUUACGCACUCACAGUUGCCUAUUAUUAAAGAAAACAGUCUGCCGUCACCAUAGCGAUGGCAGCGCUCUGAGAUGGCUGCUGGGAGCGCUGAGAGCCCCUUGUCAGAGCAGAGUUUCCACUCGGCCAUUUAGGAUCACACCAUCUCUUCACCUCUACUCCACAUUCUGUUAAACAACUGAAUCUUUCUGUAAAAUUACUUUUUUCUCCCUUUCCUUCCACUCAUUUUCAUUUUCCUCUUUCCAUAUAGCUUCUUAUUGGCAGUAACUCUAUUCGCCAACACGCUUACACUCUCUGAGACACACCUCUAUUAGUUUUUAGCUUAACAGACAGACAGCACAAGAAGGAAGGACAUUGGCUGUCCAAG